rnacentral:rRNA from 1 species
UACGUAGGGUCCAAGCGUUAAUCGGAAUUACUGGGCGUAAAGCGUGCGUAGGCGGUUUUGUAAGUUUGGUGUGAAAUCUCCCGGCUCAACUGGGAGGGUGCGCCGAAAACUGCAAGGCUGGAGUGUGGGAGAGGUAGGCGGAAUUCCUGGUGUAGCGGUGAAAUGCGUAGAUAUCAGGAGGAACACCUGUGGUGUAGACGGCUUACUGGACCAUGACUGACGCUGAGGCACGAAAGCGUGGGGAGCAAACAGG